rnacentral:rRNA from 1 species
AUGCCGUGCCCGAUCGCGCUGCCUCCGCUUCGCUCUGCCUACGAGGCCCAAUGCGGCGGCCCAGCUCCCUCUGCCGCCAAGGCCCAGUGGUGCCUCCCCUUGGCCCGUCACCGCUUCUUCGCUUUUGGCCCACUGGCCCAAUGUGAGCAUAGCUCCAGUCCCUCCUCUCUGUUCAGCCCAGCAGUGCACCAGAUUCAGCCCGAGAGGUGUUUUUUUUCGCAGAACAUUUUAGCUAAUUUCCAGAGACAGCAGUUUUGCAGGAAACCCCCUAGACAACAUGCAUAUAAUAACUCUCAAUUCGUGCAUCGGAUUAAAAUGAAUUAUGUAUGA